rnacentral:rRNA from 1 species
ACGCACGCUGGCGGCGUGCUUCACCCAUGCCAGUCGUACGGUAAGGCCCUUUCGGGGGUACACGAGUGGCGAACGGGUGAGUAACACGUGAGUAACCUGCCCACAACUUUGGGAUAACGCUAGGAAACUGGUGCUAAUACUGGAUAUGUGCCCCUGCUGCAUGGUGGGGGUUGGAAAGCUCCGGCGGUUGUGGAUGGACUCGCGGCCUAUCAGCUUGUUGGUGGGGUAGUGGCCUACCAAGGCGGCGACGGGUAGCCGGCCUGAGAGGGUGACCGGCCACAUUGGGACUGAGAUACGGCCCAGACUCCUACGGGAGGCAGCAGUGGGGAAUAUUGCACAAUGGGCGCAAGCCUGAUGCAGCAACGCCGCGUGCGGGAUGACGGCCUUCGGGUUGUAAACCGCUUUCAGCAGGGACGAAGCUUUUUGUGACGGUACCUGCAGAAGAAGCACCGGCUAACUACGUG